UCGCAGCACCUUAUCGAGUAAUGCAGUUCAUAUUUACACCUUUCUUUUACACAAAACCAAUCCCACUCCCUUUCUCAUCAUCCACACAAAGUAGCCGGUA
rnacentral:sRNA from 1 species